rnacentral:rRNA from 1 species
GACGAACGCUGGCGGCGUGCUUAACACAUGCAAGUCGAACGAGAGCGUAGAGAAAGCUUGCUUUUUCUACAAUCUAGUGGCAAACGGGUGAGUAACGCGUAAACAACCUGCCCUACGGAUGGGGACAACAGCUGGAAACGGCUGCUAAUACCGAAUACGUUCCGAAAGUCGCAUGACUAUCGGAAGAAAGGAUGGCCUCUAUUUAUAAGCUAUCGCCGGAGGAGGGGUUUGCGUCUGAUUAGCUAGUUGGAGGGGUAACGGCCCACCAAGGCGACGAUCAGUAGCCGGUCUGAGAGGAUGAACGGCCACAUUGGAACUGAGACACGGUCCAGACUCCUACGGGAGGCAGCAGUGGGGAAUCUUCCGCAAUAGGCGAAAGCCUGACGGAGCAACGCCGCGUGAGUGAAGACGGCCUUCGGGUUGUAAAGCUCUGUUAUACGGGACGAAUAAUCUUGUGGUUAAUACCCAUGAGAAGUGACGGUACCGUAAGAGAAAGCCACGGCUAACUACGUG